CAGUAGUUUAUCUACGAUCAAAGUUUAUUACAUAAUUUUAGUAAUUGCCGAAUUUACUAUAGUAGGUGCAGUUAUAAAUACAGAAAGUUUAUGCAUGUUACGACUUUAAGGUCUGGAGCUGCUGUCUUUGGCGUGUACCCGGAAUUUAAUCGAUACCACGGAGUCGAUCCUGGCGUAACGAUUUAUAAUGAAUGGUUCCGCUGUAUGGAAUCCCUGUACCUGACCAAUUCCAAGCUGACUAGGCCAAGACUGUUUAAGGGCAAUUUUCGUCUAAAACAAUCAUUUUCUCGUGAGUUAGCUGUAGCCACUUGAAUAGACUUAGCAUUGGCUUUGGAAUCUAUUUGCGGAUGUGAUCCUAUGUUACUGGAAGGAAAAGACCAUCUUGGAUAUGAAAACUAUCUACAAAUGCCAUGCUAUGCUACUGGAAAGAAUGGUAAUCCUGGAGACAGGUCAUAAAGGUCAUCCUGUACUGUAAAGCUCGGAUGACCUUUCGUUAUAAGCAGACUGCCGUUAUCGACAUUGCAGGUAAGGAAAUAAUAAUUACAGUGUUUUCAUGACCUUUCAUUGAAUACGAAAUGUGCGCAUAAUUAUGGCGUAAUAUUCAGAUUUUUGCUCUUUCCACAACUUUUACCAGUUUACCUAAAUUGCAUCUCAAAAAAUUUUUAACUUUUGUAAGCAAUGUAUUUAAAAAUCUUUUUGUGUAACUAGAUAUGAUAAUACCAAACUAUCAAUGUAAACUGAUAAAAUUAAAAAUUAUAAUCACUACCGCAAUAUAAUGGCAAAAGUUGUGAUCACAACGGAUGAUAAGAAUUUGUUAAAGCAAAUGCAGUUACUAAUUUGUAUUUCAAACUUUAUUGGUCUUUGAUAUUUAAUUAAUUAAAGUGUAGCGCCCUAGUAAAGUUUAACAAAUACCGCGAACUUCAUCAGUAGUGCAACUGCAAGUAAAAUCACUUCAGCUCAACUAUUGCCCUGCCGAAUUUACUAUAUUGUUUUUAGGUUGUCUGGACAAAGCAGAAACUCCAAAAUCACUAUUCCGCAUUAUGAGGCCUCAUAAACCUGUUUUAAAACUGGAAUAUUAAACAUCUGGAUAAAUAAAAAUGAAGAAUGUAUUUAAUUGCAUAUGCACCGAAGGAAAUCCACAUAAUCCAGAGGACCGAAACAGCGACAUAAAAUUCACAACUGUUUCUCCUUCUGUCGCAUCAAAUUUAUGUGAAACGAUCGGCUCUGUUUAGCAUUAUCAAGAAAAAAAUUUAGAGACUGGCGAUAUUUUAUGAGCAAUGCUUCAGUAGUGACGUGAAUACAACCGUGGAAAAGAAUGUAUCCUGUUAAUAAUUCUGAGCCAAAGAUUGUGGACCGCUUUUCAAUUGUGGAUGAUUGCAACUGCACAAGCGUGUGAUUCGUAUCAUUUUUCUCACGCGCAAACAUAGCAUCAAAUAACGAUGUGCCGAUUAUGUACUACACAGCUGUGGCCCUGUUAAGAAGCAGAUUAUCGUAUCGUAAAUCAUUUACGUUAUCAGUGCGGACUAAACGGAAGUUAGUUGCAGAGUUUAAAUGUAAGUGCUUAUGUGC